CCUGCGGGACUGACAUAUAGAUCAUAAUAUAUUUCCAUACACCAAAUAUAGUUGACCUUUGGCAUAUAAUAUUAGAUAAAAAGACCAAAUCUUAUAAACUGAACUUUGACCACUGAACCAUGAAAAUGAGGUCAAGGUCAGAUGACAUCUGCCCGCUAGACAUGUACACCUUACAAUCAUUCCAUACAACAAAUAUAGUAGACCUAUUGCAUAAAGUAUGAGAAAAACAGACCAAAACACAAAAACUUAACUAUAACCACUGAACCAUGAAAAUAAGGUCAAGGUCAGAUGACACCUGCCAGUUGGACAUGUACAUCUUCCAGUCCUUCCAUACACCAAAUAUACUAGCCCUAUUGCUUAUAGUAUCUGAGAUAUGGACUUGACCACCAAAACUUAACCUUGUUUACUGAUCCAUGAAAUGAGGUCGAGGUCAAGUGAAAACUGUCUGACGGGCAUGAGGACCUUGCAAGGUACGCACAUACCAAAUAUAGUUAUCCUAUUACUUAUAAUAAGAGAGAAUUUAACAUUACAAAAAUUCUGAACUUUUUUUUCAAGUGGUCACUGAACCAUGAAAAUGAGGUCAAGGACAUUGGACAUGUGACUGACGGAAACUUCGUAACAUCAGGCAUCUAUAUACAAAGUAUGAAGCAUCCAGGUCUUUCACCUUCUAAAAUAUAAACCUUUUAAGAAGUAAGCUAACGCCACCGCCGCCGCCGCCGGAUCACUAUCCCUAUGUCGAGCUUUCUGCAACAAAAGUUGCA
rnacentral:lncRNA from 1 species